rnacentral:rRNA from 1 species
CGCGCAGGCGGCCGAUCAAGUCAGGCGUGAAAGCCCCGGGCUUAACCUGGGAAUUGCGCUUGGGACUGGUUGGCUUGAGUUCGGGAGAGGAGAGUGGAAUUCCCAGUGUAGAGGUGAAAUUCGUAGAUAUUGGGAAGAACACCGGUGGCGAAGGCGGCUCUCUGGACCGAUACUGACGCUGAGGCGCGAAAGCGUGGGGAGCAAACAGGAUUAGAUACCCUGGUAGUCCACGCUGUAAACGAUGUGCGCUAGACGUUGGAGGGCGUAGCCUUCCGGUGUCGCAGCUAACGCUUUAAGCGCACCGCCUGGGGAGUACGGCCGCAAGGUUAAA